rnacentral:rRNA from 1 species
GAGACCCGUGCCCACUGUUACCAGCAUGUCCUCCGGGGUGGAUGGGUACUCUGUGGGGACCGCCGGUGUUAAAUCGGAGGAAGGUGCGGGCCACGGUAGGUCAGUAUGCCCCGAAUUUCCCGGGCUACACGCGGGCUACAAUGAAUGGGACAAUGGGUCCCUCCCCUGAAAAGGGCUGGUAAUCUCACAAACCCAUCCUUAGUUCGGAUCGAGGGCUGUAACUCGCCCUCGUGAAGCUGGAAUCCGUAGUAAUCGCGUUUCAAUAGAACGCGGUGAAUACG